AACCUCCGCAAUGUGAGAAAUCGCGACGGGGGGAUCCCAAGUGCCAUUCUUAACGGGAUGGCUUUUCAUUAGUGUAAAGAGCUUUUGGAAUAAGAGCUGGGCAAGACCGGUGCCAGCCGCCGCGGUAACACCGGCAGCUCUAGUGGUAACAAUUUUUAUUGGGCCUAAAGCGUCCGUAGCCGGUUUAAUAAGUCUCUGGUGAAAUCCUGUAGCUUAACUGUGGGAAUUGCUGGAGAUACUAUUAGACUUGAGACCGGGAGAGGUUAGAGGUACUCCCAGGGUAGAGGUGAAAUUCUGUAAUCCUGGGAGGACCGCCUGUUGCGAAGGCGUCUAACUGGAACGGUUCUGACGGUGAGGACGAAAGUUAGGGGCGCGAACCGGAUUAGAUACCCGGGUAGUCCUAACUGUAAACGAUGCGGACUUGGUGUUGGGGUGGCUUUGAGCUGCUCCAGUGCCGAAGGGAAGCUGUUAAGUCCGCCGCCUGGGAAGUACGGUCGCAAGCUAGAAACUUAAAGGAAUU
rnacentral:rRNA from 1 species